rnacentral:lncRNA from 1 species
GUAUAACACAUGCAACACCACCCAUCCAUUGACUUCUCUCUCGGACGGGGACUCUUUCUUUCUACUUAGCCGCUCAGGUUCCUUCUUUUUCAUCAGUGGCAACUCUCAAAACUGUCUCAAAGGCCAGAAGCUAGCUGUCAAGGUCAUGUCCACCGCCCAUCACUCUCCUCGUCACACCUCUCCCUCCCCUUCUCCAUCACCUUCACUGGCUCCGGUCCAACAGGUUUUGUCGUCGCCGGGGCCUUCUCCAGGACCUGAACCAUCGUCUGAUUCAAACGAUCAUGCUCCGGCUCCAGGCCCUGUGUUGGCUCACAAUUCCGCCGGUUUGGUUGGUCCGGGGAUGGUGGUUUUUAU